rnacentral:rRNA from 1 species
CGGGCGUGCCUAAUACAUGCAAGUGGACGCAAGAAACACACUGUGCUUGCACUACCGUGUUUUUCUUGAGUCGCGAACGGGUGAGUUACGCGUAGGUAACCUGCCUAUUAGCGGGGGAUGACUAUUGGGAGCGAUAGCUAAUACCGCAUAAUAUUAAUUAUUGCAUGAUAAUUGAUUGAAAGAUGCAAGCGCAUCACUAGUAGAUGGACCUGCGUUGUAUUAGCUAGUUGGUAAGGUAAGAGCUUACCAAGGCGACGAUACAUAGCCGACCUGAGAGGGUGAUCGGCCACACUGGGACUGAGACACGGCCCAGACUCCUACGGGAGGCAGCAGUAGGGAAUCUUCGGCAAUGGACGAAAGUCUGACCGAGCAACGCCGCGUGAGUGAAGAAGGUUUUCGGAUCGUAAAGCUCUGUUGUAAGUCAAGAACGUGUGUGAGAGUGGAAAGUUCACACAGUGACGGUAGCUUACCAGAAAGGGACGGCUAACUACGUG